GGCAUCUAAUCUUGACAAAUUAUUGUCUGCAAGGCUGAAACACAAAAUUCAUGCAAUAAUAUUCAGGACAUAGUAUCCCAAAUGAUUGAUGCCCCUUUUUUUAAUCAAUUAGGGUAUCACUCGAUAUCCCGUCAGGACCAUAGAUUUUUAGCAUCAAGAGGCUGCACCGCUGCCUUAACUCAGUACGAGUUGUUUUAAGCCUUCAUGUUUAUCAUUUCUCUAGCCAGUUGAACUAUGAAGCACAACAACUCUUUGAAAGAAGUUAAGAGGAUGCACUUCCUGCUACCAGGCGCCAAAAUCAGCAGCAGCAGUCGGCACCUCAGCUGGGGAGCCAGAUCCAGUAGCAGCCCCAGCAUCAAUGAAAAAUUCGUAGAGUGAUCAGAACAUGCCACGCGACGUAGCAAAUAGGGGAACCAAUGUGCAUCUAAAUAGUCUCACGUAUUCAAAUUAUUUUCCCUUUCUAUAGAAACUCACUUUGUAUUUAU
rnacentral:lncRNA from 1 species